AUCAGUGAUUGGUUGUUAUGAACAUCAGUGAUUGGUUGUUAUGAACAUUAGUGAUCAGUGAUUGGUUGUUAUGAACAUCUGUGAUUGGUUGUUAUGAACAUCAGUGAUUGGUUGUUAUGAACAUUAGUGAUCAGUGAUUGGUUGUUAUGAACAUCAGUGAUUGGUUGUUAUGAACAUCAGUGAUUGGUUGUUAUGAACAUUAGUGAUCAGUGAUUGGUUGUUAUGAACAUCAGUGAUUGGUUGUUAUGAACAUUAGUGAUCAGUGAUUGGUUGUUAUGAACAUCUGUGAUUUGUGAUUGGUUGUUAUGAACAUCAGUGAUCAGUGAUUGGUUGUUAUGAACAUCAGUGAUCAGUGAUUGGUUGUUAGGAACAUCAGUGAUCAGUUGUUAUGAACAUCAGUGAUCAGUUGUUAUGAACAUCAGUGAUCAGUUGUUAUGAACAUCAGUGAUCAGUUGUUAUGAACAUCAGUGAUCAGUUGUUAUGAACAUCAGUGAUCAGUUAUGAACAUCAGUGAUUGGUUGUUAUGAACAUCAGUGAUCAGUUGUUAUGAACAUCAGUGAUCAGUUGUUAUGAACAUUAGUUAUCAGUGAUUGGUUUUAGGCUUACAUUUUUUUUAGCUAGCAUAAAUAAAAAGUGACAAACUUAUUAUCUAAGCACAUGCAUUAAUACAGACUAAUAAAAAAGAGCGAGUACUUGAAUUCCAAAGGACAAGUCUUGGGUUAAUCUACUGGCAAUGAGCUGUGAUGUUUAGUGAUGGCUCCUCACGACGGCUACAAAAUAAUUCUCCUACCUAUCUGUAAAUCUGCGUUUUAAUUCGAGUCUUACGGCACUUUCUGUCUGGUUGAGUAAAAUACUCUUUACUUUUGGUCACCCAAGCACAGCCAGCAUGGAACCGUGCUCGAUAGAUCAUUAGAUAAUUAUACAAUUAUUCAAAAAAUUUCAUUCUAAUUAAAUUCUUUAUAAUAAAAUUUAGAUUCUUUCAUUUAUUUUGUCGGUCAGUCCAAAUCUCCUGAACGCAUCACGUUUCCAUCCAGCUGUCACGUAUCAGAGAAGGAACUCUGAGCUACAGUUCCCAGCAGCCACUGCACCUCACUACAUCACAG
ensembl:lncRNA